GACGAACGCUGGCGGCGUGCUUAACACAUGCAAGUCGAACGGAAAGGCCCUGCUUGCAGGGUACUCGAGUGGCGAACGGGUGAGUAACACGUGGGUGAUCUGCCCUGCACUUCGGGAUAAGCUUGGGAAACUGGGUCUAAUACCGGAUAGGAGCCAUCUUUAGUGUGGUGGUUGGAAAGUUUUUUCGGUGUAGGAUGAGCUCGCGGCCUAUCAGCUUGUUGGUGGGGUAAUGGCCUACCAAGGCGGCGACGGGUAGCCGGCCUGAGAGGGUGUACGGCCACAUUGGGACCGAGAUACGGCCCAGACUCCUACGGGAGGCAGCAGUGGGGAAUAUUGCACAAUGGGCGCAAGCCUGAUGCAGCGACGCCGCGUGGGGGAUGAAGGCCUUCGGGUUGUAAACUCCUUUCGCUAGGGACGAAGCUUUUUUGUGACGGUACCUAGAUAAGAAGCACCGGCUAAUUACGUG
rnacentral:rRNA from 1 species